GACGAACGCUGGCGGCGUGCCUAAUACAUGCAAGUCGAGCGGACGAAUCGAAAGCUUGCUUUUGAUUCGUUAGCGGCGGACGGGUGAGUAACACGUGGACAACCUGCCCUGUAGACGGGGAUAACACCGAGAAAUCGGUGCUAAUACCGGAUAACACGAAAUGUCGCAUGACGUUUCGUUGAAAGACGGCGCAAGCUGUCGCUACAGGAUGGGCCCGCGGCGCAUUAGCUAGUUGGUGAGGUAACGGCUCACCAAGGCGACGAUGCGUAGCCGACCUGAGAGGGUGAUCGGCCACACUGGGACUGAGACACGGCCCAGACUCCUACGGGAGGCAGCAGUAGGGAAUCUUCCGCAAUGGACGAAAGUCUGACGGAGCAACGCCGCGUGAGCGAAGAAGGCCUUCGGGUCGUAAAGCUCUGUUGUUAGGGAAGAACAAGUAACGCAGUAACUGGCGUUACCGUGACGGUACCUAACGAGAAAGCCACGGCUAACUACGUG
rnacentral:rRNA from 1 species